UACAGAGACUGCAAGCGUUGUUCGGAUUCACUGGGCGUAAAGGGUGCGCAGGCGGCCAAGUGUGUCAGGUGUGAAAGCUCGAGGCUUAACCUCGAAACUGCGCCUGAAACUAUUUGGCUAGAGUACUGGAGAGGGAAGUGGAAUUCACGGUGUAGCAGUGAAAUGCGUAGAUAUCGUGAGGAACACCAAUGGCGAAAGGCAACUUCCUGGACAGUUACUGACGCUCAGGCACGAAAGCAUGGGGAGCAAAAGGG
rnacentral:rRNA from 1 species